AAGAUGUAAACCAUUAUCUAUUUAUACAUAUAACUCAUUUUAAUCAAUUAUAACAUAUAUCUCAUUUAUAUUUUCAACUUCUAGAGAUAUAUAAUUAUAUCAAAUUUUUGUCAUAAAAAGAUUAACAAUAAUUAAUUAGUUUUAUUAGAAUGAUAGCAGAAAUCUUUACAACACACUUUGACUAAAAAUAUGUUUUGUACUUGACAUAGAAAAAUACAUUGAAUAACAAUAGAAAAAAAAUAAACAAUGAGAAACUCAACAUACCUGGAAUAAUAAAUCCACAAACUUAAAAGACUGUUGAAUCACAAUUUAUUAAUAAACUUCUUUGUCAAAGUUACAGUGAGCGAAUGUAACUUUGACUGCAAGUACAGUCCUUUUUAUGGAAGGCUACCAGGAGAGUUACUCAAUCUGCCAAAACAGUCCAAACAAUACCGAGAAGGAGUUUUAACAAAAAAUGUGUUAUUAAUAAUCUGCUAAGCAAAGCCAAAGGGCUUAAUUUGAUUUCUGAGCGACAAAAUCUUUGAAGUUAGAGGAAAUGUCAAAGGUGCUAAAAGCUGAAGUCUGACUAGCUAUCAGUAGCAAACAAACAAUUUGGCUUCAAUGUGUGAAAAAUAUUUUAGCAUGUUUUCUUCAACAAAGAUGGUUAAGGAUUUUUAACAAAAAAUGUGUUAUUAAUAAUCUGCUAAGCAAAGCCAAAGGGCUUAAUUUGAUUUCUGAGCGACAAAAUCUUUGAAGUUAGAGGAAAUGUCAAAGGUGCUAAAAGCUGAAGUCUGACUAGCUAUCAGUAGCAAACAAACAAUUUGGCUUCAAUGUGUGAAAAAUAUUUUAGCAUGUUUUCUUCAACAAAGAUGGUUAAGGAUGUUU